rnacentral:RNase_P_RNA from 1 species
AGGUAAACAGGGACACCCUUAGGGGAGGAAAGUCCGGGCUUCCACGAGCCGGCAUACCUCGUAACACGAGGGCCCCGAAAGGGGCGGAAAGUGCCACAGAAACUAUACCGCCUGGAGGAGUUGUCUCCGAAAGGCAAGGGUGAAAUGGGAGGGCUUAAGAAACCCUCUGCCUCGAUGGAGACAUCGAGGGCUGGCAAACCCUAUGUGGAAGCAAGGUCAAGAAGGAGGCGGGCGGCUCUCCCUAUGCCUCCGGGUGGACCGCGGAUGACCUUCAGGGCAACCUGAAGGCAAGAUAAAUGUCCCUGAGCCGAGCUCUCGGCGACAGAACCCGGCUUACCUUACCUAAGG